AGUUUGAUCCUGGCUCACCCAUGAACGCUGGCGGCAUGCCUUACACAUGCAAGUCGAACGGCAGCACGGGAGCAAUCCUGGUGGCGAGUGGCGAACGGGUGAGUAAUAUAUCGGAACGUGCCCAGUCGUGGGGGAUAACGCAGCGAAAGCUGUGCUAAUACCGCAUACGAUCUACGGAUGAAAGCGGGGGAUCGCAAGACCUCGCGCGAUUGGAGCGGCCGAUAUCAGAUUAGCUAGUUGGUGAGGUAAAGGCUCACCAAGGCGACGAUCUGUAGCUGGUCUGAGAGGACGACCAGCCACACUGGAACUGAGACACGGUCCAGACUCCUACGGGAGGCAGCAGUGGGGAAUUUUGGACAAUGGGCGCAAGCCUGAUCCAGCAAUGCCGCGUGCAGGAUGAAGGCCUUCGGGUUGUAAACUGCUUUUGUACGGAGCGAAACGGUCUUUCCUAAUACGAGAGGCUAAUGACGGUACCGUAAGAAUAAGCACCGGCUAACUACGUGCCAGCAGCCGCGGUAAUACGUAGGGUGCGAGCGUUAAUCGGAAUUACUGGGCGUAAAGCGUGCGCAGGCGGUUAUAUAAGACAGAUGUGAAAUCCCCGGGCUCAACCUGGGACCUGCAUUUGUGACUGUAUAGCUAGAGUACGGUAGAGGGGGAAUGGAAUUCCGCGUGUAGCAGUGAAAUGCGUAGAUUUGCGGAGGAACACCGAUGGCGAAGGCAAUCCCCUGGACCUGUACUGACGCUCAUGCACGAAAGCGUGGGGAGCAAACGGAUUAAUCCCUGGUAUCCAUC
rnacentral:rRNA from 1 species